rnacentral:rRNA from 1 species
AUUGAACGCUGGCGGCAGGCCUAACACAUGCAAGUCGAACGAGUGCCGGACGGGUGAGUAAUGUCUGUGAAACUGCCUGAUGGAGGUCGAUAACUGCUGGAAGCGGUAGCUAAUACCGCAUACCAUCAGAUGUGCCCAGAUGGGAUUAGCUAGUUGGUGGGGUAAGGGCUCACCAAGGCGACGUUCCCUAGCUGGUCUGUCAGGAUGACAAGCCACCCUAGAAUGGAGACACGGUACAGACUCAUAGGGUAGGGAGAAGUGGGGAAUGUUGCACAAGGGGCGCGAGGCUGAUGUAGACCUGCCGCGUGGAGGAAGGAGGGCAUCGGGUUGUAGAGGACUUCCAGCGGGGAGGCGUUACCCGAAGAAGAAGCACCGGCUAACUCCGUGCCAGCAGCCGCGGUAAUAC